UCUUUGCCAUAUUCAGACUGUGCAAAGAUAUCUAAAAAAUUUCAAAUUUUUAGAGCCCAAAUGUAUGGAUUUUUUGUUACUAAAUAAAAAUUUAUAGCUAAAAAGAUCAUAUCUGAAAGUAUGAGGUAAAACUAAUGAGUAAUUUUUGACCACCCAGCCGCUUGAUGCCGUCAAUAGUUUUUUUUCUGGUUCGCAGAUAUUAUUGCACAUACUUAUUAUGAUUUAUAAGUGUCUAGAUAUAAUUUAUCUGUACUAUAUAUUUAAUUUUUUUAUUCAUAUUUAUUCAUUGUAUUUCAAAAGAAUUUUAAGGUAUAUAAAUUUUUUACAGUUAAUUUUUUGUUCUGUUUUCCCCCUUUCAUCACCCAUUCAUACAUGUAUACACACCAAAUUCAAUAAAGUAAUGUGCUGGUAAUUACAAAGGUAAAUGGAAGGUAUAAAAAGAAUCAGUGGAUCGAUCACUGCUUUCGAUAUUAGAGAAAUUAUAAAGUAUUACACCACUAGUUUUGUUGAAAAAAAAAUAUGUUGCCAAAGUGGUAAUGAAAAUUGACAGUUUUGAAUUUUGUAUUGCUACACGUCUUUCGAUGUUAUAUUUCAAUGAUAUAAAAGUCAACACAAAUUUUGAAUUCAACUCUGUAAGAAGCAUGAAAAAAACAUACUGUUUGUAGCAUAAUAUAACAGAAUUUAUUGAUUUUGUUGUUCCCAUUUAAUGGUGACUCACCUAUGAUAACAUUGUAAUAUAGGUACUUUUUAUAUUCUUAUGGAUGUAACUCAAAAUGAUUAAAAUUAUUUGUACAUAUA
rnacentral:sRNA from 1 species